UCGAGGAUCUUCGGCAAUGGGCGCAAGCCUGACCGAGCGACGCCGCGUGUGCGAUGAAGGCCUUCGGGUUGUAAAGCACUGUCGAGGGGGAGGAAAGCCCGCAAGGGUCUGACCUAUCCCUGGAGGAAGCACGGGCUAAGUUCGUGCCAGCAGCCGCGGUAAGACGAACCGUGCAAACGUUGUUCGGAUUCACUGGGCUUAAAGGGCGCGUAGGCGGCUUGCCAAGUCAGGGGUGAAAUCUUUCGGCUCAACCGGAAAAUUGCUUUUGAUACUGGCAGGCUUGAGGGAGGUAGGGGCAGAUGGAACUUCCGGUGGAGCGGUGAAAUGCGUAGAUAUCGGAAGGAACGCCGGUGGCGAAAGCGAUCUGCUGGAUCUCUACUGACGCUGAGGCGCGAAAGCCAGGGGAGCAAACG
rnacentral:rRNA from 1 species